rnacentral:rRNA from 1 species
GACGAACGCUGGCGGCGUGCUUAACACAUGCAAGUCGAACGGUAAGGCCCUUUCGGGGGUACCCGAGUGGCGAACGGGUGAGUAACACGUGAGCAACCUGCCCUUGCCUCUGGUAUAACAGUUGGAAACAGCUGCUAAUACUGGUUAUUCAUCGUCUCCUUCCUGGGGGGUGGUGGAAAGCUCCGGCGGCUAGGGAUGGGCUCGCGGCCUAUCAGCUUGUUGGUGAGGUAAUGGCUAACCAAGCCUGCGACGGGUAGCCGGCCUGAGAGGUGGACCGGCCACACGGGGACUGAGAUACGGCCCAGACGCCUACGGGAGGCAGCAGUGGGGAAUAUUGCACAAUGGGCGCAAGCCUGAUGCAGCAACGCCGCGUGCGGGAUGACGGCCUGCGGGGUGUAAACCGCUUUCAGUAGGGACGAAGGGUGACUGACGGUACCUACAGAAGAAGGACCGGCUAACUACGUG